UUUAAUUCUUUCCACAGUCUUACAGUUGGAGGCGGUGAAAUUUCAGCAUGAAUUUGCUUCAGCUGUUUUUCAGGUGAUCCACAC